rnacentral:rRNA from 1 species
CAGCCGCCGCGGUAGUACGUAGGUGGCGAGCGUUAAUCGGAAUUACUGGGCGUAAAGGGCUCGCAGGCGGUUUCUUAAGUCUGAUGUGAAAGCCCCCGGCUCAACCGGGGAGGGUCAUUGGAAACUGGGAAACUUGAGUGCAGAAGAGGAGAGUGGAAUUCCACGUGUAGCGGUGAAAUGCGUAGAGAUGUGGAGGAACACCAGUGGCGAAGGCGACUCUCUGGUCUGUAACUGACGCUGAGGAGCGAAAGCGUGGGGAGCGAACAGGAUUAGAGACCCCUGUAGUCCCUGUCUCUUAUAC